CUUCGUUGGUAAAUUUUAAUUGAAGGUGUGUUUUUAUGAUAAUUGGACUCUAAUGACGAAGUAACGGAUAGUGUGACAUUUCAUUACAGUUAUGAGCUUAUUAUGCAUUGAUGAGGGACGCAAUCGCGUUUAUGAUUUUUCAACAACAUGAUCUCAGUUUAACCAGCAAAAAUUAACAUCCAAGUUGAAGACAAGCAAGCAGACUUCAGCCACUACCAAAAAGACUUGUCAUGUUCCAGAACCCACUUUAUCAACAAGAAGCAGUGGACGUAAAAGAUGCAUGAAAUUUGUUGGAAGAAAGAUUUCACAUGCGUGGUGUCCAGCUGAAGGGUCACAGAUAAGCCGAUGGUACACUGGAAUGGUUUUAGAUUGUAUCAAGGGAAAAGAUGGUGACAGGACAGCUGUUUAUGAAGUUGCAUAUGAGGGGGAGGCAGCUUCCAGCACACUAUCAAAUUUGCAGCAAGACUUGGACAAAGGUUCCCUGAAGUUUAUAGAUAUUUAGUCAGCCAGCCACAUAUCCAGUCAGCCAGCCACAUAUCCAGUCAGUGAGCCACCUCUCCAGUAGUGUACACAGCCACCAGUGCAGUGAGCCACCUCUCCAGUAGUGUACACAGCCACCAGUGCAGUGAGCCACCUCUCCAGUAGUGUACACAGCCACCAGUGCAGUGAGCCACCUCUCCAGUAGUGUACACAGCCACCAGUGCAGUGAGCCACCUCUCCAGUAGUGUACACAGCCACCACUGCAGUGAGCCACCUCUCCAGUAGUGUACACAGCCACCAGUGCAUCAAAUGUAGACAGUGAGUCCGGCAUUAAGUCAGUCAUCAAUCGAUCAGUCCAGUAGCCUACCAGUCAAAUCUGCUAUCAACUAAUCAAAUGUACACAUGGACUUGGCCAUCAGUAAGCCACUAGUCACCAGUCCAGUUACUAGUCACCAGUCCAGUUACCAGUCAUCAGUCCAGUUACCAGUCAUCAGUCCAGUAACUAG